rnacentral:lncRNA from 1 species
GAAACCCUUGGGCUUCUGGUCUCUCUGGAUAGUCUUGCUCGCUCCCCAUUUCAGGGAAUGGAUCAUUGGCUGCUCUCAUUUCACCCUCUGUCUCCAUGCCUUGAUGAUUAAGAGGUCCUCUGAGCUUAUGUUAUUUUCUUCCCACUGCUUCAAGCACUUUCUAGACCCAUCACUUCCUGUGUUAUUUAUCUUUAGGCUCCCAGGGUAAUGUAGAGAAGACGACCAUGGUUGAAGAAGGGUGUUUUGUAGAACCCUGAGUAUCUUGAGAGCGCUUGACUCGACCAGCAAGAACGACGCUGCAACAGGAUCCUUCUGCACACGUUUAUUGGGAGAGCUUGAUUGCAGAGGCGAAGAGACCCUGAGCACAGAACUGGUGCUGCUUAUAUAGGCCUAGGAGAGGCGUGUCUCACACCCAGAUUGGUUAUGCACUACGCC